UACGUAGGGACCAAGCGUUGUUCGGAUUUACUGGGCGUAAAGGGCGCGUAGGCGGCUUUGUAAGUCGGGGGUGAAAGCCUGUGGCUCAACCACAGAAUUGCCUUCGAUACUGCAUGGCUUGAGACCGGAAGAGGUAAGUGGAACUGCGAGUGUAGAGGUGAAAUUCGUAGAUAUUCGCAAGAACACCAGUGGUGAAGGCGGCUUACUGGUCCGGUUCUGGACGCUGAGGCGCGAAAGCGUGGGGGAGCAAACAGG
rnacentral:rRNA from 1 species